rnacentral:tRNA from 1 species
GGUGGCUCAGUGGUAGAGCGCUUGCCUUGCACGCCUGAGGCCCUGGGGUUUGAUUCCUCAGCACCA